rnacentral:rRNA from 1 species
GAUGAACGCUGGCGGCGUGCCUAAUACAUGCAAGUCGAGCGAACGGACGAGAAGCUUGCGUCUCUGAUGUUAGCGGCGGACGGGUGAGUAACGCGUGGAUAACCUACCUAUAAGACUGGGAUAACUUCGGGAGACCGGAGCUAAUACCGGCUAAUAUUUUGUACCGCAGGGUUCAAAAGUGAAAGGCGGUCUUGCUGUCACUUAUAGAUGGAUCCGCGCUGCAUUAGCUAGUUGGUAAGGUAACGGCUUACCAAGGCAACGAUGCAUAGCCGACCUGAGAGGGUGAUCAGCCACACUGGAACUGAGACACGGUCCAGACUCCUACGGGAGGCAGCAGUAGGGAAUCUUCCGCAAUGGGCGCAAGCCUGACGGAGCCACGCCGCGUGAGUGAUGAAGGUCUUCGGAUCGUAAAACUCUGUUAUUAGGGAAGAACAUAUGUGUAAGUAACUGUGCACAUCUUGACGGUACCUAAUCAGAAAGCCCCGGCUAACUACGUG